ACGCUGGCGGCACGCUUAACACAUGCAAGUCGAACGGAGAAUAUUUGAGUUACUUAGAUAUUCUUAGUGGCGGACGGGUGAGUAACACGUGGGCAACCUGCCUCUGAGAGGGGGAUAGCUUCUGGAAACGGAUGGUAAUACCCCAUAACAUAGUCUGAAGACAUCUUUAGACUAUCAAAGAUUUAUCGCUCAGAGAUGGGCUCGCGUCUGAUUAGCUAGUUGGUGAGGUAACGGCCCACCAAGGCGACGAUCAGUAGCCGGACUGAGAGGUUGAACGGCCACAUUGGGACUGAGACACGGCCCAGACUCCUACGGGAGGCAGCAGUGGGGAAUAUUGCACAAUGGGGGAAAAACCCCUGAUGCAGCGAUGCCGCGUGGAGGAAGAAGGUUUUCGGGUUGUAAACUCCUGUCUUAAAGGACGAUAAUGACGGUACUUUAGGAGGAAGCUCCGGCUAACUACGUGCCAGCCGCCGC
rnacentral:rRNA from 1 species